UCUGGGUAAUAAUAGUAAAGUUCUUGAAACCCAAAGAAUUUGGCGGUAUUUUAAUCUUUUUAGAGGAACCUGCCCCUUAAUUGAUAGUCCACGAUGGUGAAUUACCUAUUUUUGUGUUCAGUUUGUAUACCUCCGUCAUCAGGGUAUCUUUUUAGAGUUAAUAUCCUUCUAAUACAGAUUAUUAUAUGUCAGGUCAAGGUGCAACUUAUGAGUAGGUGGUGGUGGGUUACAUUAUAAAUAUAUGCGGAUAAUUAUUUUAUUGAUAAUAUGAAGAUGGAUUUAAAAGUAAAUAUAAAUCCUUGUUAUAUUGACUUUAGCUCUAAAAUAUGCACACAUCGCCCGUCGCUCUUAUUAUAAAAUAAGAUAAGUCGUAACAUAGUAGAGGUACCGGAAGGUGUUUCUAGAAA
rnacentral:rRNA from 1 species